rnacentral:rRNA from 1 species
UACGUAGGGUGCAAGCGUUAAUCGGAAUUACUGGGCGUAAAGCGUACGCAGGCGGCUAUGUAAGACAGGUGUGAAAUCCCCGGGCUCAACCUGGGAACUGCAUUUGUGACUGCAUGGCUAGAGUUUGUCAGAGGGGGGUGGAAUUCCACGUGUAGCAGUGAAAUGCGUAGAGAUGUGGAGGAACACCGAUGGCGAAGGCAGCCCCCUGGGAUAAAACUGACGCUCAUGUACGAAAGCGUGGGGAGCAAACAGG